UCGAGGGGCAGCGAGAUCAGUGCUUGCACUGAUUGUCGGCGACCGGCGCACGGGUGCGUAACGCGUAUGCAACCUACCCAUUACAGGGGGAUAACACUGAGAAAUCGGUACUAAUACCCCAUAACAUCCAGGGAGGCAUCUUCUUGGGUUGAAAACUCCGGUGGUAAUGGAUGGGCAUGCGUUGUAUUAGUUAGUUGGUGGGGUAACGGCUCACCAAGACCACGAUACAUAGGGGGACUGAGAGGUUAACCCCCCACAUUGGUACUGAGACACGGACCAAACUCCUACGGGAGGCAGCAGUGAGGAAUAUUGGUCAAUGGACGCAAGUCUGAACCAGCCAUGCCGCGUGCAGGAAGACGGCUCUAUGAGUUGUAAACUGCUUUUGUACGAGGGUAAACGCAGAUACGCGUAUCUGUCUGAAAGUAUCGUACGAAUAAGGAUCGGCUAACUCCGUGCCAGCAGCCGCGGUAAUACGGAGGAUUCAAGCGUUAUCCGGAUUUAUUGGGUUUAAAGGGUGCGUAGGCGGUCGGAUAAGUUAGAGGUGAAAUCCCGAGGCUCAACUUCGGAAUUGCCUCUGAUACUGUUUGGCUAGAGAGUAGUUGCGGUAGGCGGAAUGUAUGGUGUAGCGGUGAAAUGCUUAGAGAUCAUACAGAACACC
rnacentral:rRNA from 1 species